rfam:Schistosoma mansoni strain Puerto Rico chromosome 6, complete genome
AUCCAGCUGACGAGCUCCAAAUAGGGCGGAACGCGCAUCCUGGAU